UAAUUAAAGAAAACAUGCAGAAAAACAUAAUUACACUUUGAAUUUACAGUUCAAUAUGUGUUGAUCAUGUUUGCAGCCAGCACUGGGAUUCAGAACAUGAAUGUGUGUUUGUAUUUCUUACAAUAUCAACUUUAUUAAUUAAUAAUCAUCAUGUCCAAAUGUAUGUUACAUUGUUCAGUCAGCUC